UACGUAGGGACCAAGCGUUGUUCGGAUUUACUGGGCGUAAAGCGCGCGUAGGCGGGGGAUUAAGUGAGAAGUGAAAGGCUGGGGCUCAACUCCAUGCAGUGCUUCUCAUACUGGUCUUCUUGAGGGGGGUAGAGAGAAGUGGAAUGGCUGGUGUAGCGGUGAAAUGCGUAGAUAUCAGGAGGAACACCAAUUGCGAAGGCAGCUCGCUGGGACGUUACUGACGCUGAGACGCGAAAGCGUGGGGAGCAAACAGG
rnacentral:rRNA from 1 species